GACGAACGCUGGCGGCGUGCUUAACACAUGCAAGUCGAACGGAAAGGCCCUGCUUUUGUGGGGUGCUCGAGUGGCGAACGGGUGAGUAACACGUGAGUAACCUGCCCUUGACUUUGGGAUAACUUCAGGAAACUGGGGCUAAUACCGGAUAGGAGCUCCUGCUGCAUGGUGGGGGUUGGAAAGUUUCGGCGGUUGGGGAUGGACUCGCGGCUUAUCAGCUUGUUGGUGGGGUAGUGGCUUACCAAGGCUUUGACGGGUAGCCGGCCUGAGAGGGUGACCGGCCACAUUAGGACUGAGCUACGGCCCAGACUCCUACGGGAGGCAGCAGUGGGGAAUAUUGCACAAUAGGAGGAAGCCUGAUGCAGCAACGCCGCGUGCGGGAUGACGGCCUGCGGGUUGUAAACCGCUGUCGCCUGUGACGAAGCGUGAGUGACGGUAAUGGGUAAAGAAGCACCGGCUAACUACGUG
rnacentral:rRNA from 1 species